CUUAGGAUAUUAAAACCAAGGGCCUUCAAAGCCCUAAAAAAGGGUGUAAACCCCUUAGUUUUUGUAAGACUUG
rnacentral:tRNA from 1 species